rnacentral:rRNA from 1 species
GACGAACGCUGGCGGCGUGCUUAACACAUGCAAGUCGAACGGAAAGGCCCUGCUUUUGUGGGGUGCUCGAGUGGCGAACGGGUGAGUAACACGUGAGUAACCUGCCCUUGACUUUGGGAUAACUUCGGGAAACUGGGGCUAAUACCGGAUAGGAGCUCCUGCUGCAUGGUGGGGGUUGGAAAGUUUCGGCGGUUGGGGAUGGACUCGCGGCUUAUCAGCUUGUUGGUGGGGUAGUGGCUUACCAAGGCUUUGACGGGUAGCCGGCCUGAGAGGGUGACCGGCCACAUUGGGACUGAGAUACGGCCCAGACUCCUACGGGAGGCAGCAGUGGGGAAUAUUGCACAAUGGGCGGAAGCCUGAUGCAGCAACGCCGCGUGCGGGAUGACGGCCUUCGGGUUGUAAACCGCUUUCGCCUGUGACGAAGCGUGAGUGACGGUAAUGGGUAAAGAAGCACCGACUAACUACGUG